rnacentral:lncRNA from 1 species
AUUCCAUUAUGUCUACGAUGAAAUAAAUUAUUUUUUUGCACGACCAAGGGCUUCAAAUAAUUUAUCAAAAUUUAGAUAUAUUAUGAUUGGGAAAAAUCAAAAAAUUAAAUAUCUUAUGAUUCACCAAAUAGCGUAUUAUAACUUUCUUAGUGCAAAUAGGUUGAAUUAUCAUAGAAAAAUUAAUUAGGGUCAAAAAAAGGAGGCCCCGGC